UUUAUGGAGAGUUUGAUCCUGGCUCAGGAUGAACGCUGGCGGCGUGCCUAAUACAUGCAAGUCGAGCGAACGGACGAGAAGCUUGCUUCUCUGAUGUUAGCGGCGGACGGGUGAGUAACACGUGGAUAACCUACCUAUAAGACUGGGAUAACUUCGGGAAACCGGAGCUAAUACCGGAUAAUAUUUUGAACCGCAUGGUUCAAAAGUGAAAGACGGUCUUGCUGUCACUUAUAGAUGGAUCCGCGCUGCAUUAGCUAGUUGGUAAGGUAACGGCUUACCAAAGCAACGAUGCAUAGCCGACCUGAGAGGGUGAUCGGCCACACUGGAACUGAGACACGGUCCAGACUCCUACGGGAGGCAGCAGUAGGGAAUCUUCCGCAAUGGGCGAAAGCCUGACGGAGCAACGCCGCGUGAGUGAUGAAGGUCUUCGGAUCGUAAAACUCUGUUAUUAGGGAAGAACAUAUGUGUAAGUAACUGUGCACAUCUUGACGGUACCUAAUCAGAAAGCCACGGCUAACUACGUGCCAGCAGCCGCGGUAAUACGUAGGUGGCAAGCGUUAUCCGGAAUUAUUGGGCGUAAAGCGCGCGUAGGCGGUUUUUUAAGUCUGAUGUGAAAG
rnacentral:rRNA from 1 species